AUGUGCAGUGAGACCUGUAUUCUGGAUUUGGAAUGGUCUUAUUGAAAGCUCCCCUUGACUAGUACCAAAUGACUGUCUGGGAGAAGAGAACUGUACAUAUUGUUUCUACUGUGUGUCAAAUACAUUUGGUUACUCUUCCCUGUCUGGACACUCCAUUUUGAGAUGAAGCAAGCUAGUUCCAGGUCAGGCUCCAAAGAUUCAAAGAGACCCUGUCUCAAAAAACCAAAAAAGAAAAAAGAAAAAAAGAAAAGAAAGAAAGUUAAGCUUUACUCAAAUGGAUGCUGAUGCAUGUCCACUCCCCCUCCCUCUCGAUACUGAAGAGCAGUCCAAAUUCCCUGCUGUACAUGAAGACCAAGGUCCUCCCACUUCUAUCUAGGUCCAGGAAGAGGACUGCUGAUACUCCAGCGAUAUACUUACCACACCUCCUGUCCUUAUAGGAGAAGAUUGACCAAUAGCCAAAUAAGGUAAAGGCAGUAAUUAAGCAAUAUGGUUUUUUCUUUCUUUUUUUCUCUUCUUUCUUUCUUUCUUUCUUUCUUUCUUUCUUUCUUUCUUUCUUUCUUUCUUUCUUUCCUUCCCUCCUUCUUUCUUUCUUUCUUUCUUUGUUUUUUUUUUUUUGAGCCAAUAUCAGAGGGAUCCAGAGAUUCUGCAUAUCCCCUGACUGCAACUGCGUUAAAUGAUUGCCUCCAUAGUGAAGGAGCCAACGGUUUUACUUUCA